GCCCAGGGUCCCAGACUCAAGGCCCGGGUCGACCCCUCCCGGCCAAAGGUGACAACGGCCCGGGCAGCUCGAUGGUCUCGGGGUCCCCGUCCUCCCGCCAGGUUUCUCUGCUCCAGGACGACGCCCCUAGGACAGAAAGCCUCUCUCUCCUGAACUAAGAUGUACAUGGAGGUUCCUUGAAUGUGGAAGAAUUGGACAACACAGAUGUGUGGUUCCCACGAAUAGACUCCUGAGGCAUCGUUUUCUCACAGACUUGAUGUGUUUUUUUGACCGUCUUCGGUCGCUAUAGUGAUGAUAUAAACAUUUUCAGGCUAUCGACAUAUCUUGCUGUGAAAACUCCCCCUAAAACCAGUGAGAAGCUUCAGAGGCAAAUGGAUGUCCUUUUGAUCUGUCCACUGAGUGAAGACUAGGAGAUCUUCCAGCGUGUAGGAAAAGUACGAAUCUCUUCUGGGUAACCCAACGUGGCAAGUUAAAAGCAGGGAUUCUUACUCUAUACUUUGGAGUCAAACAGACAUUUCUUUUUUUAGAGAUUUUUUUUCCUAUAGGGCGCGUGCACUUGCCAUAAAGACAGA